GUGAGGAACACAGCAGCCCCACCUCCAGGUACUCAGAUAAUGGGCUCUCAGAGCCACCUCUCGGAUGAACUCGAAGAGCAAACACUGGAGAAGAUAAAGGAAUUGAGCGGAAGCUACCACAAGUGUAUGGACAGCGUGAUUAAGCAGCUGUUGAGCAUGGUGUGUGAGAUGAAACCAGAAGUCCACGUGAACUACAGAGCCACCAGCUGAAUGUACCUCGUCCUUCCAAGCCCACAGAAAGAGUCGGGAUAUGCUCUGUUAGGAUGAAUUGUCCACCGAAGUUGCCUACACGCUUUCAUGUCACGUAUUUCUUGUGUGGCACGGAAUUAAAAAAUAAACAAC
rnacentral:lncRNA from 1 species